GAUGAGCGCUGGCGGCGUGCCUAAUACAUGCAAGUCGAGCGAACGGACGAGAAGCUUGCUUCUCUGAUGUUAGCGGCGGACGGGUGAGUAACACGUGGAUAACCUACCUAUAAGACUGGGAUAACUUCGGGAAACCGGAGCUAAUACCGGAUAAUAUUUUGAACCGCAUGGUUCAAAAGUGAAAGACGGUCUUGCUGUCACUUAUAGAUGGAUCCGCGCUGCAUUAGCUAGUUGGUAAGGUAACGGCUUACCAAGGCAACGAUGCAUAGCCGACCUGAGAGGGUGAUCGGCCACACUGGAACUGAGACACGGUCCAGACUCCUACGGGAGGCAGCAGUAGGGAAUCUUCCGCAAUGGGCGAAAGCCUGACGGAGCAACGCCGCGUGAGUGAUGAAGGUCUUCGGAUCGUAAAACGCUGUUAUUAGGGAAGAACAUAUGUGUAAGUAACUGUGCACAUCUGGACGGUACCUAAUCAGAAAGCCACGGCGAACUACGU
rnacentral:rRNA from 1 species